GUUUGUUUGGAGUUAUAAAGAAUUUAACCUGCCCCCUGAUUAAUUAUUAAAGGGCCGCAGUAUUAUAACUGUGCAAAGGUAGCAUAAUCAUUAGGUUUUUAAUUGAAAUCUCGUAUGAAUGGUUGGACAAAAGAAAAACUCUCUUUAUAUUAAGUUUUGAAUUUAACUUUUAAGUGAAAAGGCUUAAAUGUCCUAAAGGGACGAUAAGACCCUAUAAAACUUUACAUUGUCAUUAAUUUUGAUUGAAUUUAUGAAAUAAGAAUUUUAUUUGGUUAUUUGUUAUGUUGGGGAGAUAUAAGUAAAAUAUUUUUUUAACUGCUUUGAUAGUUAUACAAUUAUAAGUGGUAAGUAGAAGAUCCUUUUUAAAGAUUAAUAGAUUAAGUUACUUUAGGGAUAACAGUGUGAUUUCUUUUGAGAGUUCUUAUCGAAAAAGGAGAUUGCAACCUCGAUGUUGAAUUAAAAUAUCUAUAUAAUGGAGAGGUUAUAUAAGAAGGUCUGUUCGACCUUGAAAUUUUUACAUGAUUUGAGUUCAAACCGGUGUAAG
rnacentral:rRNA from 1 species